rnacentral:rRNA from 1 species
UACAGAGGGGGCAAGCGUUAUUCGGAAUUAUUGGGCGUAAAGGGCGCGUAGGCGGUUUUUUAAGUCGGAUGUGCAAUCCCCAGGCUCAACCUGGGAACUGCAUCCGAGACUGGAAGGCUAGAGUACUGGAGAGGGUGGUGGAAUUCCUCGUGUAGCGGUGAAAUGCGUAGAGAUGAGGAGGAACACCAGUGGCGAAGGCGGCCACCUGGACGGAUACUGACGCUGAGACGCGAAAGCGUGGGGAGCAAACAGG